UGGUAGACGCACUAGACUUAGGAUCUAGUGCCGCAAGGCGUGGGGGUUCGAGUCCCUUCGCCCGCA
rnacentral:tRNA from 1 species